rnacentral:rRNA from 1 species
AUCAACUUUCGAUGGUAGGAUAGAGGCCUACCAUGGUGGUAACGGGUAACGGGGUGUUAGGGCACGACACCGGAGAGGGAGCCUGAGAAACGGCUACCACAUCCAAGGAUGGCAGCAGGCGCGCAAAUUACCCAAUCCCGACACGGGGAGGUAGUGACAAUAAAUAACAAUACGGGGUUCUUUCGGAUUUCGUAAUUGGAAUGAGUACAAUUUAAAUCUCUUAACGAGGAACAAUUGGAGGGCAAGUCUGGUGCCAGCAGCCGCGGUAAUUCCAGCUCCAAUAGCGUAUAUUAAAGUUGUUGCAGUUAAAAAGCUCGUAGUUGAAUUUCGGGAUCAAAUUGUCGGUCGUGCCUCGGUACGUACUGGCAUUAUUGGUUCCUCCCUUCUGAAGAACCGCGAUGUCAUUAAUUUGGUGUCGCGGGGAAUCAGGACUGUUACUUUGAAAAAAUUAGAGUGUUUGAAGCAGGCUCGCGCUUGAAUACAUUAGCAUGGAAUAAUGAAAUAGGACGUUUGAUUCUAUUUUGUUGGUUUCUAGGAUCGACGUAAUGAUUAAUAGGGAUAGUUGGGGGCAUUAGUAUUCAAUUGUCAGAGGUGAAAUUCUUGGAUCUAUUGAAGACUAACUACUGCGAAAGCAUUUGCCAAGGAUGUUUUCAUUAAUCAAGAACGAAAGUUAGGGGAUCGAAGACGAUCAGAUACCGUCGUAGUCUUAACCAUAAACUAUGCCGACUAGGGAUCGGAUGAUGUUAAUUUUUUAAUGACUCAUUCGGCGCCUUACGGGAAACCAAAGUGUUUGGGUUC